AAAAGCGAUUUUUUUAAAGAUCCCACUAAAGCUAGUGGCCAACAGAGAUGGAACUAGAAAUCUGGGCUCCUGACUCCCAAAUGAUCAUUCCUGUGUGUCAAGACUAGGAAGCUGUAACUCUUUGCCUCAUCUUUAUAGGAGAAAGCAAAAUUUGGUCUGAAAGUAUCUAAUAUGUAACCAUAUUGUUCCCAGAAACCAAGAUCAAUAAUUCUGAACUGUAUCAAAAUGCCGCAAGAAAGUAAAUGAUUCCACAACUUCAACCACAACGCUUGAAGCAUCUGGCUUCUGCUGAGAACCGCAGGAAGGACUCGGGAAAGAUAAUCGCUAGUAUUUUUUUCCCCUGUUCUUUGGAAAGAGGUACACCCUGAACCAGUACUGAUUGACCCUGAUGACAUGUGACUUGGACUCAUUCUUCUAGCACCUUCUUUUAGGGACAAG
rnacentral:lncRNA from 1 species